ACAUUCACAGUGUAAACACACCAUACCCCAUACUCUCAAAGUGACCGUGUUUCACCAGUAAUAGUGUUAAAUAUACUGUUACGAUAUACGGACACCAUAAUAUAAUUUUGGGAAACCUAUCUGUGUUCGUGAUUCGUUUGGUAUUUGGCCGAAAACCUGUUCAAGAUUUAAGAUUGGCAGACUUUCAAGCAUCGGAGACGACGACGAGAUUCGGCAUGCCUAAGUUCGUAUCUGAAUUGUACCAUCUGCCCUUAUUAAGUAUUGCAUGAAGUCUUCGGCUGUUUCACCGUAAGGAUUAUCUUGCUAUGAGGUUCAUGUACGACUAUACGUUAUCAUCCCUGCUUUCGUAAUAUCUGAUGGGCGGGACAUGAGAUCUGCUGCUACGUCCAAGGAAACUGCCAAUCAAGAUGGUAUCAAUUUGGUGACCGUUGGAUGGAUUACGCACCUGAAUGGAUUACUUAACUGAACAAACCAGCGCAAGGCAUUCUUUGAGGAUUCGAAGUGUAGGGGGAUUUGGUACCCAGUGCCUAGGAUACCAAACAUCUGUGCGGCGUCGUUGUCUUCCAGGGAAUGUACAGUUCAGGAUAGCUUUUUACCUUGCUGGGAGUGUUGCUUCAGAUUCAC